rnacentral:lncRNA from 1 species
UUAUAACCCACAUAACCCAUAUUCUGAGAUGCAAAGAUUCAAAUAAUUCUGCCAUAAUAAAUCCCAUCUUACAUAACAAACAAAUCAACACAACCCAUAUUCCGAGAUUUAAAGCUUCAAAUAAUUCUGCCACAUUAUUCUACCCUUCGAACAAAAAAUUUCUCUAACACCCCUGUAUAAGUUAAGUCAAUAUUCUACCUCUUACUCAAGGGCUUGAGCCAUAAAUCUUACAAACAUGCGUGUCGUCGGCUAGUGGGUGGAUUUGGCAUAGGGAAAAAUAACAUCUCAUUUGCCGCUAAUUCGUCUAACGGUGAUCAACUACAAAUGAAGGCUUCAGUGAGAUUCAAAUCACCGAAUUAAAUAACUAGCCAAUGAACAUUAAUACAUGGUGUAUUUUUCCGCAGUGUAUCGUUAAGUUGUUGUUAUAGAAUGAGUAGUAUCUGUAGAAUUUUUGUUUUAACAUCUUAAACAUACUACAAAUUGCUUUUGAACUGAUGAAGCUUUCGAAAUUGUAAAGCGAAACGUUUUCAAUAUAUCAAUGAAGUAGUUGA